rnacentral:rRNA from 1 species
AAGCGCUUGCAACCAGACUUGUGUACGACGGUUCCCCCUUCCUUUUGGUUGGGUCACUCCGUCGUGCCAGGCCAACAUCAGUUUUGGUGGUCGGUUAAAGGCUUGGGGAAUGUACCUACGCUCUCGGGUGUAGACUUAUAGCCCCAGGUGUCAUGCGGCCUA